rnacentral:tRNA from 1 species
GGGCGUAUAGCUUAGUGGUAGAGCAUGUGCUUAGCAUGCACGAGGUCCUGGGUUCAGUCCCUAGUACCUCCA